AGGUUAUGUAUUGUCCAUAUUGUGGACUCGAAUUGGCUGGACCUAUUGGAUGCUUUUGUGGUUCCUGUGGUAGCAACAUUCAAUUUUUGGCACCUUUUCGUCAGAAUGGCCCAGGAACUGUGUCAAAUGAACUCACAGAGGCAGGCCUAAUCCAGAAAUAUUUCUCAGAGGGCCACACAUAUGACGUGAUCCUUGAUUUUCUUGGAACAAAGCUUAUCAUUUUCCUGAGUCUGAGCACCUUAAAGAGAAGGCUAAGGAAUGCAGGCCUAACAAGGAGAACAGACUAUACUCCCAGUGGCACUGUGGAUGCAGCUAUUACACAUGAGCUGACAGGCUCCGGUCAGCUUUUAGGCUACAGAGCUCUGUGGCAGACAUUGCGACAGGAGUAUUUCAUGACAGUUAAAAGGGACGAUGUAAUGCAUGCAAUUAGCAGACUGGAUCCAUCAGGAGUUCAACUUCGCCAUAGACACAGAUUUGUCCAAAGAGGGUACUUUACAGCAGGACCAAACCAAGUGUGGCAUGUCGACGGGUAUGAUAAGCUCAAACCAUUUGGUGUUGCCAUUGUUGGCUGCAUUGAUGGGUUUUCUAGGAAAGUGAUGUGGCUCAGAAGUGGCAGCUCUAAUAACGACCCAGUGAUAAUUGCAUACUAUUACCUGCAGUGUGUAUCAGACUUCGGACUUCCAGCACGCCUUCGCACAGACUGUGGGACAGAAAAUGGCACUAUGGUAGCCAUUCAUUGUGCAUUAAGAGCACAGCAUACAGAUGACUUUGCAGGAGCCCACAGUCACAUGUAUGGCACAUCAACUGCAAAUCAAUGAAUCGAAAGUUGGUGGUCCUUUUUCAGAAAGCAAAGGACUCGGUUCUGGAUUGAGCUCUUCAGUGACCUGAGAGAGAGGCACCUUUUCAAUGGCAGCCAUGAGCAUAAGUGCCUUCUACGGUAUGUCUUCUUGAGCAUCUUGCAGAAAGACCUUGAUGAGUACAGAGAACUUUGGAAUAAUCACACCAUCCACCCUGUUCGUCAGUCUUGUUGUCAUUCUGGUAAACCAGAAGCCAUGUAUCACCUGCCUCACAGGUUCGUAUUUAUUCCAUGCAAUAUGUGACCAUGUUCGGUAAAUAUCAGAUUUCAUUUUCACUUAAGUUUAAUCAUUAAUUAUCAAAGAAAAUGUGAUCGAUUGAUCGGAUGUUUGAGGGCAAUGCGUUGUCCUACUCUAUUUCUUUGAGAUCUUCUCUCCAGAUGAGUUUUAUUGCUUUAUUGCAGGGUGCUUGAUCUCAGUUUUUGUCUUAGCAGGACAAUCAAGUCUUACAGGUAUAAUGUUCCUCCUUUCAUCAUAAUUUUGAUCAAUCACAUGUUUUCAGAAAACAUUUCUGCAUUGAUAAAGAAGAUCAACAUGUCUGUUUUAAUAACAGACAAAUGACUGCUUUAAAGUGGUUUAAACAACUGCUUUUUUUUCUGUAAUUGCUAACUCAAGAAAUUGAAAUGCUGUAUCAAACUCAACAAAUGUGAAAAAUAUCACUUGCAACACUGUCAUUGUUAACUUUUUGUUUAAAACAUGUUUUGUGUCAUAUAUACACUUACAGACAUCAACAUUCAGCAUAUGAAACACAACAAUGGUGACAUGCUUCAUGCCAGCAUACAAAACACAUUCAUGGCUCCCAGCAUGCAUUGCGACAUGAAUAAAUUAUGCAGCUGAAUUUUUUUUAUUGUCACCAUUGUUGAGAUUUGUAUGAGUGCUGAUGUCUAAGUGUGUCGUUUUUAAAGGGAUAGUUCACCCAAAAAUGAAAAUUUGAUGUUUAUCUGCUUAGGGCAUCCAAGAUGUAGGUGUUUCUUCAGUAGAACACAAAUGAUGAUUUUUAACUCCAACCGUCGCGGUCUGUCAGUCAAAUAAUGUGUGUAAUUGGGAACUCCAUCUAUAAGAGUCAAAUAAACACGACACACAAAUCCAAAUGAAACCCUGCGACUCGUGACGACACAUUGAUGUCCUAAGACACGAAACGAUCGGUUUGUGCGAGAAACCGAACAGUAUUUACAUAAUUUUUUACCUCUAAAACGCCACUAUGUCCAACUCCGUUCAGCAUCCGGUUAGUGAGGUAAAAAAAACGCGCUCUGAUGGCGGAACUGAUGUCUCGCGCUUUGCUUCAAUGAGUGCGAGACAUCACUUCCGUUGUCAGAGCGCGUUCAGACCUCACUAACCAGAUGCUGAAGGCAGUUGGACAUAGUGGUGUUUUAGAGGUAAAAAAUGAUAUAAAUACUGUCCCAUAACCAACCAGGUUAAUCGCCAUAGUAACAUACCUGAUCUGCCCCAGGGUAUGUUAUGUUUUAAGUGUUUUAAACAAUUAUUAAUAAUAAAUUAAAUCAAGUAAAUAGAAAGUGAAACGAGAAUUAAUGUUUUGUCCUCAUGAUUCUGAAAUCAUUUGGUACUUUUGCAACUCAGGCACUUGUUUUCAGUGAAUGAAAAUGAAAGGCUCUUUAUAUUGGUGCAAAGGGCAGAAUGUUACCUCUGUGGAUGAAUAACAUGGAUGUUAAUCAUCCUCAGUGGAAAAUUACUGAGAUACUCAAGUGCUUUCAACCAACUAACCUCUGGCAUUCUGCUAUCCAACCAAUCAGAAGUAGACAACUGUACAUCAAAUAAAACACUAUGGAGAGCUGUGCUUCAACCCCUAUUGUCCUGUUAUGAACAUUCAACUCAGUUUGAAGUCCUAAGCAAUCUUGACAAGGAUUUCAUUAAGGUUAUCUCUGUUUUUUGUUGCAUUCAGCAUUCCUUUGACACUGACCUGCAUGAUGCUGCCACCAUCAUCAUUCAGCGUUCACACUUAGAAGCAAUAAAGUGCGAGAGGUUGUGCUGUAUGGUUAAUAAAUCACAGCUGAAGGGCGUUAUUAGGCACGACACAAAGAAUAAUUGAAGAAUAAUUUCACUUUCAGUUAUGCAAGCUGUUAUUGUCAAACAUUAAAAUGUAUUGCAUGUAUUGUGUAAAAAAUGUAUGGAAUGAAAUGCAAUAUCAAAUGUCACAAUUACAUGAAAAAUUGUGUCAUUUCAAUUUGCAGACUCUGCACUUUUAAGAGAAAAUGUUCCAUCACCCUGUAAAUUGACUGAUAUAUUACUUUCUUCAAUAUGUGUUAUUCAGCAAGCAGCAUCCUGUUUUAGUUCAGAAAUAAAUAGGGUUAUCUUCAAACCAGACAAAGAGACAUGUAAGAAGCUGGUGUUUGUGUGCGGUUUCUUCUUGUUCUCCUUAAAUGACAUUGGUUUUGAAUAACUGUAAUCAUUUCAAGUAAAUGGAAAGUGAAAGCAAAACUGCAUGUGAUGUCCUGUUCUGAGGUCAUGUAUAGAUGUGAAGUCCUUUUCACACAUGCAACAACUUUGUUUGUAUGUGCAUGUGUGUACCUACUUAACCAUAUUUUGAGGACAAAUUUGUAUGACAAAAAUUUCCAAAACCUCCU